rnacentral:rRNA from 1 species
UAAGGAAUAUUGGUCAAUGGACGCAAGUCUGAACCAGCCAUGCCGCGUGGAGGAUGAAGGUCCUCUGGAUUGUAAACUUCUUUUAUUUGGGACGAAAACUGGGUAUUCUUACUCACUUGACGGUACCAGAUGAAUAAGCACCGGCUAACUCCGUGCCAGCAGCCGCGGUAAUACGGAGGGUGCAAGCGUUAUCCGGAUUCACUGGGUUUAAAGGGUGCGUAGGCGGGUAGGUAAGUCAGUGGUGAAAUCUUUGGGCUUAACCCGAAAACUGCCAUUGAUACUAUUUAUCUUGAAUAUUGUGGAGGCUAGCGGAAUAUGUCAUGUAGCGGUGAAAUGCUUAGAGAUGACAUAGAACACCUAUUGCGAAGGCAGCUGGCUACGCAUAUAUUGACGCUGAGGCACGAAAGCGUGGGGAUCAAAC